CACCGCGGUUAUACGAGAGGCCCGAGUUGACACAAGCCGGCGUAAAGAGUGGUUAAUAGAAUAAAAACUAAAGCCGAACACCUUCAAGACCGUUAUACGCACCCGAAGGCAGGAAGACCCCCAACGAAAGUGGCUUUAACUAGCAUGAAACCACGAAAGCUGCGACA
rnacentral:rRNA from 1 species